rnacentral:rRNA from 1 species
AUUGAACGCUGGCGGCAUGCCUUACACAUGCAAGUCGAACGGCAGCGCGGACUUCGGUCUGGCGGCGAGUGGCGAACGGGUGAGUAAUACAUCGGAACGUCCCCUGUUGUGGGGGAUAACUAGUCGAAAGAUUAGCUAAUACCGCAUACGACCUGAGGGUGCAAGUGGGGGACCGCAAGGCCUCACGCAGCAGGAGCGGCCGAUGUCUGAUUAGCUAGUUGGUGGGGUAAAGGCCCACCAAGGCGACGAUCAGUAGCUGGUCUGAGAGGACGAUCAGCCACACGGGGACUGAGACACGGCCCAGACGCCUACGGGAGGCAGCAGUGGGGAAUUUUGGACAAUGGGGGCAACCCUGAUCCAGCAAGGCCGCGUGUGUGAAGAAGGCCUUCGGGUUGUAAAGCACGUUUGUCCGGAAAGAAAUCGCGCUGGUUAAUACCUGGCGUGGAUGACGGUACCGGAAGAAGAAGCACCGGCUAACUACGUG